rnacentral:rRNA from 1 species
CAAACGACUCUCGGCAACGGAUAUCUCGGCUCUCGCAUCGAUGAAGAAUGUAGCGAAAUGCGAUACUUGGUGUGAAUUGCAGAAUCCCGUGAAUCAUCGAGUCUUUGAACGCAAGUUGCGCCCGAAGCCMUUAGGCCGAGGGCACGUCUGCCUGGGCGUCACGC